CCCUCUCGAAACUGAGGCUAAUCCGUCAUACCCCUCUCACGCUCGACUGCCGAGAGGUCAAAACGCUCAGGCGCUGUGGGAUGAGGCUGCGGCCGAUUAGGUAGACGGUGGGGUAACGGCCCACCGUGCCCAUAAUCGGUACGGGUCGUGAAAGCGAGAGCCCGGAGACGGAAUCUGAGACAAGAUUCCGGGCCCUACGGGGCGCAGCAGGCGCGAAACCUUUACACUGCACGCCAGUGCGAUAAGGGGACUCCAAGUGCGAGGGCAUAUCGUCCUCGCUAUUCUGUACCGUAGGGUGGUACAGGACCAAGGGCUGGGCAAGACCGGUGCCAGCCGCCGCGGUAAUACCGGCAGCCCAAGUGAUGGCCACUCUUAUUGGGCCUAAAGCGUCCGUAGCC
rnacentral:rRNA from 1 species